AUGGCGUUGGGCGUGGUGGUUGGCGCCGCGGUUGUCGCAAUGUGGCUACUGGCCGGUGAGGCGCGAGGCCAGGCGCAGCUCCAGGUAGGGUUCUACGCGCACUCGUGCCCCCAGGCGGAGGUGAUCGUCAGGGACGAGGUCGGCAGGGCCGUCAGCGCCUACCCCGGCUUCGCCGCCGGCCUCGUCCGCCUCCACUUCCACGACUGCUUCGUCAAGGGCUGCGACGCGUCUGUGCUGCUGGACUCGACGGCCAACAGCACCGCGGAGAAGGACGCCCCGCCCAACAAGAGCCUGAGGGGGUUCGAGGUCAUCGACGCCGCCAAGAAGCGCCUCGAGGCCGCGUGCGCCGGGACCGUCUCCUGCGCCGACAUACUCGCCUUCGCCGCACGAGACAGCGUCGUCCUGGCCGGCGGUAGCCCGUAUGGCGUCCCGGCCGGGCGGAGGGACGGCAACGUGUCGGCGGCGUCCGACGCGCAGGCCAGCCUGCCCCCACCCACGGCGAAUGUGGCCCACCUCACGGAAGCCUUCGCCAAGAAUGGGCUUUCCCAGGAGGACAUGGUCACGCUUUCAGGCGCGCACACGAUCGGCGUGACGCACUGCAGCUCCUUCAGCGCGCGGCUGCACGGGUACAACGCCACCACGGGCACGGGCCAGGACCCGGCCAUGGACGGGGCCAAGGCGGCGGAGCUGGCGCGGCAGUGCUCACCGGGGAGCCCGAACGCGGUGCCCAUGGACGCCGGCAGCCCAGACACGUUCGACACGGGCUACUUCCGCGCCCUGCUGGCCAACCAGGGCGUCCUCGCCUCCGACCAGACGCUCACCUCCGACAACGCCACGGCGGCGCUCGUGGCUCAGAACGCCGGCAACGUCUACCUGUUCGUGACCAGGUUCGGCGACGCCAUGGUGAGGAUGGGUGGCAUCCGGGUGCUCACCGGCGGCGACGGCCAGAUACGCACCAACUGCAGGGUCGUGAACUGA
rnacentral:rRNA from 1 species